CAGUAGCCGCGGUAAUACGUAGGGUGCAAGCGUUAAUCGGAAUUACUGGGCGUAAAGCGUGCGUAGGCGGUUAUAUAAGACAGAUGUGAAAUCCCCGGGCUCAACCUGGGAACUGCAUUUGUGACUGUAUAGCUAGAGUACGGCAGAGGGGGAUGGAAUUCCGCGUGUAGCAGUGAAAUGCGUAGAUAUGCGGAGGAACACCGAUGGCGAAGGCAAUCCCCUGGGCCUGUACUGACGCUCAUGCACGAAAGCGUGGGGAUCAAACAGGAUUAGAUACCCCCGUAGUCCCUGUCUCUUAUAA
rnacentral:rRNA from 1 species